GAGAGGUGCAAGCGUUAUUYGGAAUUACUGGGCGUAAAGGGUGCGUAGACGGUUCAUUAAGUCUUUUGUUUAAGACCCCGGCCUAACUGGGGACCAGCAGAAGAAACUGAUAGACUAGAGGAUGGAAGAGAGAAGCGGAAUUCUCGGAGUAGCGGUUAAAUGCGUAGAUCUCGAGAGGAACACCGAUGGCGAAAGCAGCUUCUUGGUCCAUAUCUGACGUUGAGGCACGAAAGCGUGGGGAGCAAACAGGAUUAGAUACCCUGGUAGUCCACGCUGUAAACGAUGAUCACUAGACGUCGGUUUUGCGUUGCAAAAUCGGUGUCGUAGCUAACGCGAUAAGUGAUCCGCCUGGGGAGUACGGUCGCAAGACUA
rnacentral:rRNA from 1 species